CCUACGGGUGGCAGCAGUGGGGAAUAUUGCACAAUGGGCGCAAGCCUGAUGCAGCCAUGCCGCGUGUGUGAAGAAGGCCUUCGGGUUGUAAAGCACUUUCAGCGGGGAGGAAGGCGGUGAGGUUAAUAACCUCAUCGAUUGACGUUACCCGCAGAAGAAGCAACGGCUAACUCCGUGCCAGCAGCCGCGGUAUUACGGAGGGUGCAAGCGUUAAUCGGAAUUACUGGGCGUAAAGCGCACGCAGGCGGUCUGUCAAGUCGGAUGUGAAAUCCCCGGGCUCAACCUGGGAACUGCAUUCGAAACUGGCAGGCUAGAGUCUUGUAGAGGGGGGUAGAAUUCCAGGUGUAGCGGUGAAAUGCGUAGAGAUCUGGAGGAAUACCGGUGGCGAAGGCGGCCCCCUGGACAAAGACUGACGCUCAGGUGCGAAAGCGUGGGGAGCAAACAGGAUUAGAUACCCCUGUAGUC
rnacentral:rRNA from 1 species